UUUGGGCUGGGGAUGUAGCUCAGUUGGUAGAGGGUUUGCCUCACAUGCAGAAGGUCCUGGGUUCAAUCCCCAGCACUAAAA